rnacentral:rRNA from 1 species
UACAGAGGGUGCGAGCGUUGUUCGGAAUUACUGGGCGUAAAGCGCGCGUAGGUGGUCCCGUAAGUCCGCUGUGAAAGUCAAAGGCUCAACCUUUGAAAGCCGGUGGAUACUGUGGGACUAGAGUACGGAAGAGGCGAGUGGAAUUCCUGGUGUAGCGGUGAAAUGCGCAGAUAUCAGGAGGAACACCAAUUGCGAAGGCAGCUCGCUGGGACGUUACUGACGCUGAGACGCGAAAGCGUGGGGAGCAAACAGG